AACUGGCAUAUUUUUUACUUCUUACAGAUUUUCACGUAAAACUUGGCAUUAUUAAAAAAAAUGCUUACUGGUGUUUUCUGAAAUUAGCUUAACGGAAACUAGUGAAAUUGAAGCACUUUACGCAUGUAACUAACAUCCUGUUUAAUGUGCCGAAUGGGUGGUGAUCGCUAGUUGGUUCCAGACACUUUCACAACUUCCAUCCUGAGCGCCUGGCUGCUUCCUUUCUGGACUUAACUUUCAGCCACCUACUGCUAUAUGUCCCUUUCCGAAUUGUUUGCAUGGGUUCAUGCUUGCUGGUGGAGGCUCACAAUCUACAUGCUUACCUCUGCAGUUUCAAGUGAUCUUGACAGCCCUUUCAUCUCCUUGAGAUGGAAAUAUGGGAAGCAACUUGCACCAACGGAAGCAGAGGGGCCUGGAACUGCUGAGGUGUGCCCUCCUAAGGAUCCGCACCUUCCCAAUCACAAAAGUUGGAAUGGUUCUCCAGCUCAAGGGCUCAUGGAGGGUAUGUACCUUGGGUACUAUGUUCUUGACAUCUUCAAGUUUCAGUCUUCUGAAGAUGAGUGCUCCUGAAGAUCAUCAGGCUAAAAUUCUGAUGUGAGGUAGUUUAUCAUGUUAUUGCCCACCUUCCAUCGUCUUCCCCAGCAAGCCUACAACACAUAUCAUGAACAAGUGCAUGUUAGGUUGCCAUGUUGAGAAAAAACAAGUGACUGGCUUCUUACUGCAUUAUAAUCAGAAUCUAGCCGUCCUUCUAGUCAUUCGACCUCACAUGACCGGAUCAUUAGCCGCCUCAAGGAAGUACCGAUGCAUUAUUGAGUUCAGUUGGGAUGUGGAUGUGCAGGCAUGGGAAACCUUGCGGUCAUCUCUGGACAAGACAGUGACUGUGGCAGCAAAGUUCUAUCGUAAGAAGAACAGAUGACAUUGCCAGAUGGGGAACAGUACUACCAAUCAGGCUUAAGAGGUUGUCCCAAGAAGAGUAGUGGUACUGAUGUGGGUACACCUAAAUGGGUCCUUCUUAUUAGUAUACAUGAUAUAGCUCAAGCAAAGGCCCAUAUGGAUCCCAAUUAUCAAGAAGAAUUUAGGCCGCGCAAGGCAUCUAAAAGCCCCUGGACCCAAUGUGUGCAAUAUGGUCUAAAUUCAGUGGGCAAGUUCUAAUUGUUGUAACUAACCUGGACUUAGUAACCUCAGAUUUGGUUUCGUCUAUAAAAGACCGGAGGAGCCGCCAGUCAUGGGCAAAAAAAAGAGAGAAACACGCAAACCCUAGUUACACUAGAUCAACAUCACCUUCGCCUCCUCGGUGACUCCCUGUAAUCACCAUCCAUUAUAUAAGCAGACAAGUAGCACGUAGGGUUUUUUCAUUGGAGGCCUGAAGCUAGGUAAAUCUCGUUUUGUCCCA